rnacentral:rRNA from 1 species
ACGGAAGGCAGCAGUGGGGAAUAUUGGGCAAUGGGGGAAACCCUGACCCAGCAACGCCGCGUGAGGGAAGAAGGUUUUCGGAUCGUAAACCUCUGUCCUUGAUGAAGAGUAAGAGACGGUAAUCAGGGAGGAAGCCCCGGCUAACUACGUGCCAGCAGCCGCGGUAAUACGUAGGGGGCAAGCGUUGUCCGGAAUGAUUGGGCGUAAAGGGCGCGUAGGCGGCCCGGUAAGUCUGGAGUGAAAUUCCCGUUUUUAAGAUGGGAACUGCUUUGGAUACUGUCGGGCUUGAGUGCAGGAGAGGUUAGUGGAAUUCCCAGUGUAGCGGUGAAAUGCGUAGAUAUUAGGAGGAACACCAGUGGCGAAGGCGGCUUACUGGACGAUAACUGACGUUGAGGCUCGAAAGCGUGGGGAGCAAACAGGAUUAGAUACCCUGGUA